AAUGGUUUCCAGGCAGUGAAAGAGGGUGAUUCAGCAAGCCACUCUUCUUCUAUUUUCUUUAACCUCCCCUUCACUUUUUAUUUUUAUGGGGGUGGGUGGUGCUUGCUAUAUGCUUACCUUUUUCUUUUCUUUUUUCAUUUUUACAAAUUUCCUUUUUUGUCCUCACCCCUCAAUUCCUAGGGGCUUGAGUGAGUUUAAGAUUGGGUUUUCUUGGAAAUCACCUGUCCAUCGUUAAUUUUAAACAAUCUCCAUAUCUCCAAAGAAUCUCUUCCAUGUUAGUCUGGAAUGUGGUUAAUGAAAAACAAGUAGGGAGGAUUUCUGGGGCAAACACUGCCGGAUCAGGAUCGUAGUUCUCAGGCACGGAAUGGGAGAAGCUGUAUUUCUUAUUGUGAAUCUUGGUAGAAACUCUUAAGAGGAGACAUCAGGCUAGUGUGAGAAACACCAACAGCAGGCCCAUCUCAGAUCUUCACUAUGGCAACUUAUGCAAGAAACUGUUGAAUUAGACCCGUUUCCUAUAGAUGAGAAACCAUACAAGCUGUGGU
rnacentral:lncRNA from 10 species